rnacentral:rRNA from 1 species
CCUACGGGUGGCAGCAGUGAGGAAUAUUGGUCAAUGGACGGAAGUCUGAACCAGCCAUGCCGCGUGCAGGAAGACGGCUCUAUGAUUUGUAAACUGCUUUUGUACAAGGGUAAACCUGAAUACGUGUAUUCAGCUGACAGUACUGUACGAAUAAGGAUCGGCUAACUCCGUGCCAGCAGCCGCGGUAAUACGGAGGAACCAAGCGUUAUCCGGAUUUAUUGGGGUUAAAGGGUGCGUAGGCGGAUUUUUAAGUUAGAGGUGAAAUGUCCGAGCUUAACUAGGGAACUGCCUCUAAUACGGUGGGUCUAGAGAGUGGGUGAGGUAGGCGGAAUGCAUGGUGUAGCGGUAAAAUGCUUAGAGAUCA